rnacentral:rRNA from 1 species
AUUGAACGCUGGCGGCAAGCCUAACACAUGCAAGUCGAACGAGUGGCGGACGGGUGAGUAAUGUCUGGGAAACUGCCUGAUGGAGGGGGAUAACUACUGGAAACGGUAGCUAAUACCGCAUACCAUCGGAUGUGCCCAGAUGGGCUUAGCUAGUAGGUGGGGUAAAGGCUCACCUAGGCGACGAUCCCUAGCUGGUCUGAGAGGAUGACCAGCCACACUGGAACUGAGACGAGGUCCAGACUCCUACGGGAGGCAGCAGUGGGGAAUAUUGCACAAUGGGCGCAAGCCUGAUGCGGCCAUGCCGCGUGUAUGAAGAAGGGCUGCGGAUUGUAAAGCACUUUAAGUUGGGAGGCGUUACCAACAGAAGAAGCACCGGCUAACUUCGUGCCAGCCGCCGCGGUAAUAC